UAGCGGAGGAAARGAAACCAACAGGGAUUGCCUCAGUAACGGCGAGUGAAGCGGCAAAAGCUCAAAUUUGAAAUCUAGUGCUUUCAGUACUCGAGUUGUAAUUUGAAGAUGGCAACUUUGGGCGUGGCCUUUAUCUAUGUUCCUUGGAACAGGACGUCACAGAGGGUGAGAAUCCCGUCUGAUGAGGUGACCCACGCCUUUGUAAAGUGCCUUCGAAGAGUCGAGUUGUUUGGGAAUGCAGCUCUAAGUGGGUGGUAAAUUCCAUCUAAAGCUAAAUAUUGGCGAGAGACCGAUAGCGAACAAGUACAGUGAUGGAAAGAUGAAAAGAACUUUGAAAAGAGAGUGAAAAAGUACGUGAAAUUGUUGAAAGGGAAGGGUAUUAGAUCAGACUUGGCGGUUGUUGAAAAUCAGUCCCUUGUGGAUUGUGCACUCAACAGCAGCUGGGCCAGCAUCGAUUGGAGUGGUUGGAUAAGGGUUGUUGGAACGUGGCACCCUUCGGGGUGUGUUAUAGCCUUCAGCACAUACGACCUACUUCGAUCGAGGACUGCGUCUUUUGACUAGGAUGCUGGCGUAAUGAUCUAAUAUCGCCCGUCUUAA
rnacentral:rRNA from 1 species